rnacentral:rRNA from 1 species
UGGGGAAUUUUGGACAAUGGGCGAAAGCCUGAUCCAGCAAUGCCGCGUGUGUGAAGAAGGCCUUCGGGUUGUAAAGCACUUUUGUCCGGAAAGAAAUCCUUGGCUCUAAUACAGUCGGGGGAUGACGGUACCGGAAGAAUAAGCACCGGCUAACUACGUGCCAGCAGCCGCGGUAAUACGUAGGGUGCAAGCGUUAAUCGGAAUUACUGGGCGUAAAGCGUGCGCAGGCGGUUUGCUAAGACCGAUGUGAAAUCCCCGGGCUCAACCUGGGAACUGCAUUGGUGACUGGCAGGCUAGAGUAUGGCAGAGGGGGGUAGAAUUCCACGUGUAGCAGUGAAAUGCGUAGAGAUGUGGAGGAAUACCGAUGGCGAAGGCAGCCCCCUGGGCCAAUACUGACGCUCAUGCACGAAAGCGUGGGGAGCAAACAGGAUUAGAUACCCUGGUAGUCCACGCCCUAAACGAUGUCAGCUAGUUGUUGGGGAUUCAUUUCCUUAGUAACGUAGCUAACGCGUGAAGUUGACCGCCUGGGGAGUACGGUCGCAAGAUUAAAACUUAAAUGAAUUGAC